rnacentral:rRNA from 1 species
AACGUAGGACGCGAGCGUUAUCCGGAGUUACUGGGCGUAAAGGGCGGGUAGGCGGGUGGGCAAGUGAGGUGUGAAAUCUCCCGGCUUAACCGGGAGGGUGCAUCUCGGACUGUCGACCUGGAGGGCAGCACAGGAGCGUGGAAUUCCGGGUGGAGUGGUGAAAUGCGUAGAGAUCCGGAGGAACACCAGAGGCGAAAGCGGCGCUCUGGGCUGCACCUGACGCUGAACCGCGAAAGCCAGGGGAGCGAACGGG